rnacentral:rRNA from 1 species
UACGGAGGGAGCUAGCGUUGUUCGGAAUUACUGGGCGUAAAGCGCACGUAGGCGGCUUUGUAAGUUAGAGGUGAAAGCCCGGAACUCAACUCCGGAACUGCCUUUAAGACUGCAUCGCUUGAAUCCAGGAGAGGUGAGUGGAAUUCCGAGUGUAGAGGUGAAAUUCGUAGAUAUCGGGAGGAACACCAGUGGCGAAGGCGGCGAUCUGGGAAGAUACUGACGCUGAGGUGCGAAAGCGUGGGGAGCAAACAGG